rnacentral:rRNA from 3 species
AUUUGACCUCAAAUCAGGUAGGAACUA